UACGUAGGCAGCAAGCGUUGCUCGGAAUUACUGGGUGUAAAGGGUUCGUAGGCGGUGUGGCAAGUCGGGAGUGAAAUCUCUGGGCUUAACCCAGAGGCUGCUUCCAAAACUGCUGUGCUUGAGUGUGGGAGAGGUGCGUGGAAUUGCAGGUGUAGCGGUGAAAUGCGUAGAUAUCUGCAGGAACACCCGUGGCGAAAGCGGCGCACUGGACCACAACUGACGCUGAGGAACGAAAGCUAGGGGAGCAAACAGG
rnacentral:rRNA from 1 species